CGGUCAAUGUUGCAGAAGCCCGCCCAACAACUUCCGGAAGCUUUCUUUAAAUUAAGGCCACGCGCCCGUUUCGGCCUCUUAGCAACGGGGAGAUCUUUAAGGUCUGCCCUGCGCAGAACAGCAGACAGCGUGGACUUCAACCUUUCCCCAAGCUUCUGAAUAAAGUGUUUCAACAACA